rnacentral:rRNA from 1 species
GUAGGUGGCAAGCGUUGUCCGGAAUUAUUGGGCGUAAAGCGCGCGCAGGUGGUUCUUUAAGUCUGAUGUGAAAGCCCCCGGCUCAACCGGGGAGGGUCAUUGGAAACUGGGGAACUUGAGUGCAGGAGAGGAAAGUGGAACUCCACGUGUAGCGGUGAAAUGCGUAGAUAUGUGGAGGAACACCAGUGGCGAAGGCGACUUUCUGGCCUGUAACUGACACUGAGGCGCGAAAGCGUGGGGAGCAAACAGGGAUUAGAUACCCUGGUAGUCCACGCCGUAAACGAUGAGUGCUAAGUGUUGGGGGGGUUUCCCGCCCCUCAGUGCUGCAGCUAACGCAUUAAGCACCCCCGCCUGGGGGAGUACGGUCGCAAGACUG